AUUCUUGGUCAUUUAGAGGAAGUAAAAGUCGUAACAAGGUUUCCGUAGGUGAACCUGCGGAAGGAUCAUUAAUGAAACGCUCGGGGAUGUUGCUGGCCCUUUCUGCGAGGGGGGGCACGUGCACUCCUUGAACAUUCUGACCCCUUCACCCCCCUGUGCACCUUUUGUAGGCUUCAGAGGGACCACCCUUUGGGGCCUAUGUCAAUUACCUUACAAACUCUAGUCGAUCGAAUGUCCUGUAACAAGUAAAUCUGGAGCUUUCUAGGUUUAAAAGUAACCCAAUACAACUUUUAACAAUGGAUCUCUUGGCUCUCGCAUCGAUGAAGAACGCAGCGAAAUGCGAUACGUAAUGUGAAUUGCAGAAUUCCGUGAAUCAUCGAAUCUUUGAACGCACCUUGCGCCCCUUGGUAUUCCGAGGAGCAUGCCUAUUUGAGUGUCAUUGAAAUCUCAACUUGGCCCGAGUUUGCUCUCGGAGCUACAGCUUGGAUUUGGAGUGUGCUGGUCCCUUGUGGGGUUGGCUCCUCUGAAAUGCAUUAGCGCGACGAAAUCCUUUCAAGGGUUGGCCCUCGAAUGCGCUGUGGCAUUGAUAACACUUGUCUAUGUCUCACUGCUGGGGGUGUUCUCGCUUACAAUUGUCCUCGUCGUGGGGGACAAAGGCUCACCUUGACAAUUACCUCAAAUCAGGUAGGACUACCCGCUGAACUUAAGCAUAUCAAUAAGCGGAGGAAAAGAAACUAACAAGGAUUCCCCUAGUAACUGCGAGUGAAGCGGGAAAAGCUCAAAUUUAAAAUCUGGUGGUCCCUCGUUGGCUGCCCGAGUUGUAAUCUAGAGAAGUGCUUUCCGCGCUGGACCGUGUACAAGUCUCUUGGAACGGAGCGUCGUAGAGGGUGACAAUCCCGUCUUUGACACGGACUGCCAGGGCUUAUGUGAUGCGCUCUCGAAGAGUCGAGUUGUUUGGGAAUGCAGCUCAAAAUGGGUGGUAAAUUCCAUCUAAAGCUAAAUACGGGCGAGAGACCGAUAGCGAACAAGUACCGUGAGGGAAAGAUGAAAAGAAUC
rnacentral:rRNA from 1 species